CACAGAGAUAACCAAGAAAGCUGACUGUGGCUCGCCCUGUGAGAACACUGACUUAAUGGGACUGUUUUCAUUGGAAAAUGAUGUUUUCAGCUCAAAUUAGAAUAUGCAUUUGCUCAAGGUGACCAACUAUCCAUAGAACAAAUGAAAACAAGAACCUACCUUCUGUCUGACAUGGAUCUCAUGCUGCCUACACAUGCCUCUCUUGUUCAGCUCAUUUGUGUUUCUCUGCCUUCGUUUCAAGUAAUGGAUAGCUACUUUCUUCUGUGAGUGCCUUGAGGCUCAGUUGAAGUUUGAUACUGACUUUAUUGGAGCCCGAGUGUGUACAACAAAUGUACUGCUUAAUUAUUCCAAAAGGGGCAAGUGGACAGAAGUCUUCAAGUGGUUUUUGUGUCUGCUUUUUGUUGUAGAUAUCCAGAAGAUUGAG